rnacentral:rRNA from 1 species
CCUACGGGAGACAGCAGUAGGGAAUAUUGCUCAAUGGGGGAAACCCUGAUGCAGCAACGCCGCGUGAAGGAAGAAGGUUUUCGGAAUGUAAAGUUCUUUUGGCAGGGAAGAAAAUGACGGUAUCUGAGAAAUAAGCACCGGCUAAAUCCGUGCCAGCAGCCGCGGUAAUACGGAUGGGGCAGGCGUUAAUCGGAAUCACUGGGGGUAAAGGGAGCGUAGGCGGGAAAGCAAGUCCGAUGUGAAAUACCAUGGCUUAACCCUAGAACUGCAUUGGAAACUGUGAUUCUAGAGUAUGGGAGAGGCAGGUGGAAUUCCUGGUGUAGGGGUAAAAUGCGUAGAUAUGAGGAGGAACACCAGUGGCGAAGGCGGCCUGCUGGAUCAUUACUGACGCUGAUGCGCGAAAGCGUGGGGAGCAAACAGGAUUAGAUACCCCAGUAGUC